rnacentral:rRNA from 1 species
UACGUAGGGGGCAAGCGUUGUUCGGAUUUACUGGGCGUAAAGGGCGCGUAGGCGGCGUGACAAGUCACUUGUGAAAUCUCCGGGCUUAACUCGGAACUGCCAAGUGAUACUGUCGUGCUAGAGUGCAGAAGGGGCAAUCGGAAUUCUUGGUGUAGCGGUGAAAUGCGUAGAUAUCAAGAGGAACACCUGAGGUGAAGACGGGUUGCUGGGCUGACACUGACGCUGAGUGCGCGAAAGCUAGGGGAGCAAACGGG